GCAACGCGAAGAACCUUACCAGGUCUUGACAUCCUCUGACAACUCUAGAGAUAGAGCUUUCCCUUCGGGGACAGAGUGACAGGUGGUGCAUGGUUGUCGUCAGCUCGUGUCGUGAGAUGUUGGGUUAAGUCCCGCAACGAGCGCAACCCUUGAUCUUAGUUGCCAGCAUUCAGUUGGGCACUCUAAGGUGACUGCCGGUGACAAACCGGAGGAAGGUGGGGAUGACGUCAAAUCAUCAUGCCCCUUAUGACCUGGGCUACACACGUGCUACAAUGGAUGGUACAAAGGGCAGCGAAACCGCGAGGUUUAGCCAAUCCCAUAAAACCAUUCUCAGUUCGGAUUGUAGGCUGCAACUCGCCUACAUGAAGCCGGAAUCGCUAGUAAUCGCGGAUCAGCAUGCCGCGGUGAAUACGUUCCCGGGCCUUGUACACACCGCCCGUCACACCACGAGAGUUUGCAACACCCGAAGUCGGUGGGGUAACCGUAAGGAGCCAGCCGCCUAAGGUGG
rnacentral:rRNA from 1 species